GGUAGCAUAAUCAUUAGUUUUUUAAUUAAAAACUUGUAUGAAUGGUUUGACAAAAUAAAUAUUGUCUCUUCUAUAAAAUGAGAAUUUAACUUUUAGGUGAAAAGGCUUAAAUAUAAUAAAAAGACGAUAAGACCCUAGAAAGCUUAUAUAUUUUUUUCUUUAUUUAAAAAAUUUUUUAUAAUAGAUGAUUUAAGAAAUUUUAUUUAGUUGGGGCGACGAGUAAAUAAAUUAUGUAACUUUAUAAAUUUAUAACAUAAAAUUUAUGGAUCUUUAUUCAAACUUUUAGUAAAGUUACUUUAGGGAUAACAGCGUUAUUUUUUUUUAAAGUUCAUAUUAAGGAAAAAGAUUGCGACCUCGAUGUUGAAUUAAAAUUUCUUUUUGGAGCAGCAGCUAAAAAAGAAGGUCUGUUCGACCUUUAAAAUUUUACAUGAUUUGAGUUCAAACCGGCGAGAG
rnacentral:rRNA from 1 species